rnacentral:lncRNA from 1 species
GGCGCGCUCGGCUGGGCGAGCCCUACGGCGGCGCUCAUUGGCCCAGGCCGCGCUGCGGCCACGCCCCUGACGGGGAGCGCGUCCACGUGGGACAAGACGGCCCCUCCUUGGCCCCUCCCGGUGUCCCGCAGUGUCCAGUCCCUGGCCGGGACCGUGCCAACCCUCUCCUGGCCCUCGGAAGUCGUCUUGCGGGCCACGGAGGCCACGGCCAACCUUAUUUCUAGUGUCUCCCACGCGGCCCCGGUUUGCGGUGCCCGCCGCACUUUGAGCGCAGUUAGGACUACCGCGCCUGGGUGUCACGCCUGGCCGCGGCCCCUCCCGGCGGCCAGGUGACUGGGAGGGGAGUUGUGCCCUAGGGCCCCGGAUCCCGUCCUGGCUCGCUCUCGCACCUGCGAUUUGUCCUUGGCCAGACAGGCUUUCUCUCGCCCUGCGGUGGGGCCGGGCCACUCACGUGGUUGUUUUGCUCCGCAGUCAUACACUUGGGUGAAAACUGCAAGGCUAAGGAGUCACGGGUGCCGGCCUGCGGCCCCAGCUAUGGCGCAGAACCUCAGGAUGGCUGUGGGUCGUUAAUUUCCCCACAGCAGCUCUGCGUGUUCUGCCAGGUCGGCAGCGCCGUGCGAGAACACUGCCUGGGAUUCAGAUUCUGACACUUGCUGCAGUGUGUCACCUUGAGCAGAUCCCACUCUCUCGCCGACGCGUUGUCAAGAAUGUGGAGUGUUAACAGGCACUACCUUUCCUGUGGCCGGAAUUGGAUGAGGUAGCGAGUGACUGGAACGCAGUAGGCCUUCAGGAAAUGCCAGUUUCCGUUUGGCUCUUUCCGUGAAUAUGCCUGCUUUAGGAUGUAGUAGGGGGUUGGUCUCUUUGCAUCCUGGAAGCUUUCCUGUCCUUCUGGGAUUUAAGAUUGCUUCCUGAUCCCCUGUGUGGUACUGGGUGUGACUUUGACACUAAUAAAAUUUGUUGU